GCGGUAAGUACGGAGGGGGUUAGCGUUGUUCGGAAUUACUGGGCGUAAGCGUACGUAGGCGGACCAUUAAGUUGGGGGUGAAAUCCCGGGGCUCAACCCCGGAACUGCCUCCAAAACCGCUGGUCUUGAGUCGAGAGAGGUGAGUGGAAUUCCGAGUGUAGAGGUGAAAUUCGUAGAUAUUCGGAGGAACACCAGUGGCGAAGGCGGCUCACUGGCUCGAUACUGACGCUGAGGUACGAAAGUGUGGGGAGCAAACAGGAUUAGAUACCCUGGUAGUCCACGCCGUAAACGAUGGAUACUAGCUGUCCGGAGCCUUGAGUUCUGGGCGGCCAAGCGAAAGUGAUAAGUAUCCCACCUGGGGAGUACGUUCGCAAGAAUGAAACUCAAAGGAAUUGACGGGGGCCCGCACAAGCGGUGGAGCAUGUGGUUUAAUUCGAUGAUACGCGAGGAACCUUACCAGGACUUAAAUGCAUAUUGACAGGGUCAGAGAUGACUUUUCCUUCGGGCAAUUUGCAAGGUGCUGCAUGGUU
rnacentral:rRNA from 1 species